GUACAUAUUUAAGCCUUUUGGAUCAGUAUGAGCUGCUGCAGAAUCGCGUCAGUAGGCAUAUUGUUCAUGAUGUUGAUUAGCGUAGUGUUUCUAGUUUUCAUAAUACUGGAGUCACGGGCAGAGAAAUAGCGCCCUACCAGAUUGAAGAAAAUUAAAUUUGUACGUAUUUGAUUUUUAUAAUGGCAAUCUAAGUAAUUGUUUCGACAAAGAAAAAUACGAAAGCAAUAAUGUUUUGAAUAAAAAAUCGCAUCUUUUGAUUUUUUAUA